GAUAUUGAGAUACUCCUCCGUCGGAUUGAUACCUUGGUUCUCAAACUGAGGGAAAUACUUACCUCCGCUGUGCUACAUCAUCCUCUCCGCUUCGAGGAAACACCAAUGCAGAAGGAUCCCUGUUGUCGUCAACAUGCCCAUUCCUGGCGCCACUUGAAGGUCUUUUGUGGAGCAGAAUAACGGACAUCAGAAGCAUUCCUGCGCCAUUGCCGGGGAUCCCUUUUGAAACAUCAGAAGUAUUUCUGGCGCCGUUGCCGGGGAGGAGAGGUCAAGAUCUAUCCAAGUAGGUCUCACAAACUCUUCUCUUGCAUUUACUUUUGUUGCGAGUUGCCUCUCGUUUUCCUCUCCCCCACU
rnacentral:lncRNA from 1 species